CUUUCAUGCACCAUCAAGCAAGGCGGGGUUCCUGACUCUGCAGCUUUUACUGAGGGCUGGCGACAAAGAUGUGGUUAGCUCCAGGGAGAGUGCGAGGCUCUGCAUCCAGCAGCCACAAACAGGAGCAUGGCUGGGCAGCACCCGGCGAGCGUUCGAGAGUCCCCGCCGCUGGGCUCCAAGUUCAGCGCGGAUGUAAAUGCUGAGCUUAAGGAAGUGCUCGGGAGGGAAGAGAAUGCAUCAGAUGAUCACUGUGCCAGCACUAAUGAGUACAUCAAUGAAAGGAUUAAGAAAGGAUGGAGACAUGCUGAACCCAUCCCCGCUCCUACAAUGCUCAGAGGUGUGGCUUGAUUUCGCUCUCUUUCCCCAGUGCUGAGCUAACAACUGAAAUAAGAGUACACAAUCAGUAUGUUAAUAAUCAAGGAGUCUGCUCACUGCAUUAUACAGACAUCAGAGGAAUUUCUUCCACUGUCUGAUGAAUAUCACAAACAGGCCUGUUUGUAUUAACAGAGCCUUAUGUAGCAAGUCCAAAAGUGACAAACCAAACAGUUUUAAGUGGUUGCAUUCCAGCUCCAAAUGUCCCGAGUAUCAAACAUCAUUAGAAACCUGCAUCCUGGCUGCAUGUGAGGGAAACAAAGCCUGGUGGAGGCCCGCAGUCAGUUGGACUAGACACUCGGUGUCGAAGCAGAUGACUAUGACAAGGUUUUUCAACUGCCAAAGUGACACUGCAAUUGCAAUCUGGGGCUGCAGCUGGAGAGCCAGAAAUACUGUAUCGGUUACCAAGAGGGAAGGCAUUUAUUCUUCAGAGCGACAUUUCAGGAAGGCUUUACGUCUGAGUCAUCAUCUUUGACGGCGUGUGUGUCCAUCAGCGAGCUGAGCAGCAGCGCUUCCGCAAAACUCUGCAGGGAGGUUUGAAGCUCUGCAGGUCUCUGUGGACUUGACCGGCUGCCCUACGAAGUCAACAGAAAGGUUCCCUCUGGUGCCUGUGGGCUGGGAACCGGACCCUGGGUGGCAUUUCUUGGGCUUAGAGGCGGCACGACUCCCAUGCAUACGGCCAAACUGAAUUAUCACCCGAAACCCAACAUAUAAGGCAAGCAGAACCAGCAGGCACAGCUCCUUCGCCGUCCUGCCUGCAGCACAUAGAGGGCAAUAGCAGGAAAGGAAAGAUGAGAAUCAUAUAAAUACUCUUAAGGAUAGCGGCUUUUUAUUGAAUUUGCUGUGGCAGUUUCUGUGGGCUGCUCCUGUGACUCUCUUUACCAAUUUCCACCUCCACCAUCCCAGGCCCCUGGGGGACAGGAAGCCCACCCAGAGCAUGCCAUGCAGGCUGUGCAGGCCACAGGGUCUGGGCAUGCAUGGCAGAUGGACAGCCACGAGCAUCACCUGCUGCAAGGCUCUCGUGCCUUGCCAGAAGGGAGGAUGGCAUUUGACAAAGCUGGGAGAAGGAGCUUAAUUCCCCAAAGCUUAUUUCAACCAACUUGCUUGGGUUUACAAAGGGGGCCUGGAAACUGAAAAGGAACAGACUUUCUCAUGAGACUUCCUGUUGGUGCUGCAUCCAGUAGGACCGGAAAUAUCACAAGAAUAGCUUUUCUUGUGGUAUUUUAUUACUUCUGCUUCUGCUCCUGGACGGAACUGGGAAGUACAAGGGUGCAUGGAAAUGAAAUAUAGUGGUCAGAGGGGAGCCUGCCAAACAUUUGGAAUGACAACAGCAAGAAAGGUCAUUCACUUAAGUCUCAGGAACCGCUUCCGAUCCACUCUUAUUUUAUUCAGACACAUUUAUGUGAUGCUGCUUUUAAAACUCAUUCACUCAAGGCUGGCAUCGCUCUGUAUUCAAACAUGGGCUGUCCGUGGUUCAGCUGUGACUACCGCUGGUAAGUUCCUAUGGAGAAGUGGCUUCUGUUUCCUAAAAUGUUUAACUGACAUAAUCCAUCACCACAAUAUGGGCAAGAAAAAAAAGCCAUCAAACAGCUCUGCUACAUCUCCUAGUUGUACUCCCUGUAUUUCAUAUUCUGUCAGCAUGUUAGCUAUGUUAGACAAUAUGCACAUCUGCACACAUACUUUCCAUGGUCUGCACCACACGGAGUACCUAUUUCUCGUAACUGAUUUCCUGCUCAGAAUUGUUUGACAAAUGCAGACAAAUUCUGUCCAGCAACUGUUUGUAAAUACGAGUCGCAAAUAUUUUCUCAGCAAUCUCAGGCAGUGGCUGAGUGUCUGGUGGCAGCAGUGACGCAGCGUGAAGGCAGCAGAGCAGCUGUGAUCAGGUCCCCCAGCUCUGCCCUCCCUGAAGGCGAAGAGAGGCAGCUGGAGGGGAUCCGCCACCUUGGAGCAGCCGGGAAGAGAGGGAAAGCCAACAACAGCUCUGGGCUGCACUGCUGCCGAGAAGCUGUUCGGUGAUUUACACCCUUGGCAUCGCAAUCAAAACUACCUAAACCACAUGGGACCAUUUCCAUUUCCUGUUUGGUUGAUGCAGUCUUUGCAUGUUACUCCUCUUUCUUCCUGAAGUGAAUUCCCCUUCGCUGAAAAACUAAUUUUGUUCCAUUAUUAAAUGAGCGUUAGCUGCUAAUCAACUCUUUGCUUUCCUCAACAAGCUCCAUUUGCAAGCAAACUGAAUUAGAAGGGGUAUGAGCACAGAUGAAGAGAAAUGCAGCUUAAAAGCUGAGACAAGAUUCCCUGAGUUCAUUGCCUUAUUAUCUGGCUCUUGUAUUAAAAGCACUCUGCUCAAUUUAGAUUACAAAGUGGAGUUGUGCUUCAGAUGCCAUAUGGAAUAAUCAGAUGGCGUGGCUCCGCUCCCAGCGCAGAGUUCUCUCCCUACUUCAGUCUGAAGCCAGCCUCAUGGUCUUUCCUUCCCAGCUCCCCAGGCUCAGUGGCACCACACAGACAGUCAGCUCACCAGCCUGCUUGUCUCUAUUUUCCACCCUUCCUACAAGUUGAUCCUGGCACAAUAUCCCAUAGUUUUGCUUUCUUUCUCAGCCGGGGAGACGCACCAAAUGCAAUUACCUGCCAGUACAGGGGAGGACAGAAAAUGAAGGCAAGUUCAGGUAGAUCCUAGCAUUGCAGAAGGAUGAGCAAAAGGAACUGCUAGAUGCCAGACUGAAGCCAAGCUUCUAAACACAAAUGUUAAGGUCUCUGUCUUCUUUGAAAAAAAAAAUAAAAAUAAAAAUCAUCCUUCAACACAAACUAAUAUAAACAGGGGAGGUCAAAUCCCUUUUGUUUCAUGCUCUGUACUGUUUUGAGUUGACACUCUUGGACCGCACUUGAGUCAUAGCUCGUGGCUACUGGUUCAUUUAUUGCAUGCCUACACUUUUCACUGUAUUAAAAGCUGAUGUUCUAAACUAUAAUUCUAUGGUAAAAGAGAAUUGGAGAGUAUGUUCUAUUGUUGGAGAGUUGCAUAAUAUAUACAUAAUUGUACGGACAUAUAAUAAAAGUCAGUAUUCUUCUCAACAUAAAGACAUUUCUCAGUGUUGACAAAUGACAUCUGUUGAAGGACUAAAGGAUUAUUACAGACCAACACGAACAAGUCUUCCAUUUUUCAGUGUACUUGCACAUAUCCUGUAACUUGAUAUUGACCUAAAAUGGUAUGAGG
ensembl:lncRNA